UCGGAUUCACUGGGCGUAAAGGGUGCGUAGGGGGUUGGGUAUGUCUGAUGUGAAAUCUCCGGGCUCAACCCGGAAAUGGCAUUGGAUACUAUCUGGCUAGAGGUUUGGAGGGGGGACUGGAAUUCUCGGUGUAGCAGUGAAAUGCGUAGAUAUCGAGAGGAACACCAGUGGCGAAGGCGAGUCCCUGGACAACACCUGACACUGAGGCACGAAAGCUAGGGGAGCAAACAGG
rnacentral:rRNA from 1 species